rnacentral:rRNA from 1 species
CAAUGGACGAAAGUCUGACGGAGCAACGCCGCGUGAACGAUGAAGGCUUUCGGGUCGUAAAGUUCUGUUGUUAGGGAAGAACAAGUACCGGAGUAACUGCCGGUACCUUGACGGUACCUAACCAGAAAGCCACGGCUAACUACGUGCCAGCAGCCGCGGUAAUACGUAGGUGGCAAGCGUUGUCCGGAAUUAUUGGGCGU